rnacentral:tRNA from 1 species
AUUUAUAUAGUAUAAAUCUAUUACAUUUAACUUCCAAUUAAAAUAUUUAAAUAUUCAUAUUUAAUAUAAAUA